CAAAACACAGCCAGAAAACCAGUCUUUGAAUUUUCGAAAAAAAAAAAAAACCCCAUUUCUACUUUCAUUUCAAUCACCUCCCAAAAUCAUAGAAAAAAGAAAAACAUGAGUUCUUCAACAAGAGCUUGGAUAGCAGCUGCUAGCAUCGGAGCUGUUGAGGCAUUGAAAGAUCAAGGAAUUUGUAGAUGGAAUUAUGGUCUAAGGUCAAUACAACAGCAUGUCAAGAACAAUAUCAGAUCAUCUUCUCAAGCUAAGAAGGUUUCUGUUCCAUCUUCUUCUGCUUUGGCUAAGAAACUGAGAGAUGAUGAGAAGUUGAAGAAGUCAGAGGAAGCACUUAGAACUGUCAUGUAUUUGAGCUGUUGGGGUCCAAAUUAAGCUGCCCCUUCGUUUUUUGUACAUAUGUAAUGCUAAUUUUGCAUCAGUUAUAUUAAUUGAACUAUCAAAAAUAUGUUCAAAAGUUGAGUUUGAUAUUAGAAACUUUUGGGGGUAAAUUUAUAUAUUGAACUUUUUGUCUCUGAUGAUCAUGAAUCUUACACUCCGUUUACUGAGACAAAAAAAAAAAAGGAAGAGAAAAAGAAAAUACUAUAAUAAAAAAAAUUAGCUAUUCUUAUCAGAAACUUUCUAAAUUAAAUUGAAUAAAUUGAGGUGAAAAUCACACGAUGCUUUCUUCAGCCUUUAACCUCAACCUCCAAAUUCAAAUGCAAUGAACAGAGUAAAUGCAAAAGGCUCGUUUGUUUAGCCGAAAUUAAAUUUUAGAAAAUAAAUAAUAUUAAUAUAAUUGUUAAAAUUAUUUAUUAUUAAAAUUAUUAAUAUUCAAAAAUAAUUAUAUUUUAAUAAUAUUUAAUAUUUAAAUAUUAUAUUUAUAUAAAAAUACUUAAAAUAAUAAUAUUUAUUAUUCUUUAUAGCAUUAUCUUAAAAUAUUUAAAAUAAUAUUAUUAUUCUUAAAAUAUUAUUUUUAUUAAUAUGAAAAUUAAUAAUAUUUAUUAUUAAAAUAUUUGUACUAUUAAAUAUUUAUAUUUUAUAUUAAAAGUAUCUAUCAUUAAGUCAUAAUAAAAAAUUGUUUAUUUAUAUUUAUUAUUAAAAUAAUAAUAUAAAUACCUUAAUAAAUAAAAUAUAAAAUUAUAUAUUUUAAACUAAAAAAAUAAAAAAAUCAUUAAAAAUAUUAAGAAAAUUUUUUUAUUAUAUUCGUUAAUAUUAAUUAUUAAAAUAAUAAUUUUUUAUUUUUAUUUUUUAUUGUUAAAAUAAUAAUAUAAUAUUAUUUAUUAUUGAAAUAUUAAAAAUAUUUAUUUUUAAUAAUAUAUAAAAUUAUUAUUGUGAAUAUUUUAAUUUUUUAAUUAAAAUUAAAUAAAAAUAUUUUUAUUAAUAUAAUAAUAUUUUAAGACCAAUCAAAUCAAGAUCCAUCUUAAAAUAUUAUGUUAAAAGUUACUUAAGUAAAUUUAUAAAAAUAUUUAAAAUUAAAACAUUAAAAUAUUUUUAACAUUAAUUUUUAAAUUUUUUAGGAAAAUUUAAAUAAAAAUUAUUAUCUAAUAUAUAUAUAUAUAUUAUAACAACAUAUAUAAAUAAAUUGCAUAUUAUGUGAACAACUCUUUUAAAUGAUACAUAUAAUGGUUUUUUUAAAUAAAAUAAUUUUUUUAAUUACAAAAUAAUUUUAAAUUUAUUUAAAUAUAAAAGUUAUUCAAAUUAUAAUUAAAAUCAAAUCAAUUUAGAGAUAUAUAUUCUAAAAUUAAAAAUAUGAAAUAUGGAUUUUAUUUUUUUAAUAAAUAAUUUUAGAUGUUUACCAAAAUAACCUUAUUUAAAAAAUUAUUUAAUUAUCAAAAUCUUUCAAAUAUGUUUAAAAAUUACAAAAAUUAAGUUUAUCCAAAACUUUCAAUAAAUUUUUUUAUCUUGAUUUUAAAAAUUUUAUUGUUUAAAAAAUUUACGUAAGAUAUUAAAAUUUUAAGCAAUUUUAUUUAAGAUUUUAAAAUUUUAAAAAAUUUUCCUCUUAAAUCUUUAAAUAAUAAGAUUAUCAAAAUUAUUAUAUUCAUUUGAAUUAUAAUUAUCAAAUUUAUAUUUCAAAUAAAUACAAAAAAUUUAAUAUUAUCUUUAUCACUUAUUAUAUCCAUUUUAAAUUUUAAAAAAUUAAUUUAAAAAUCAUCUAUUUAAUCCUAAUUGUCACUAAAAAAUUAUUUUACAAAUUUAAGACUACAAAUGUGUUAUACAUCAAUUUUUUUUUAUUUUUCAGUAAUUUUUUAAAGAUAUUUCUAUUACUAUUGUAAUUUUUUUGUUUCGAAAAUUUUUUUUAAAUAUAUUUUAUUGUUAUUACAGUUUCAUUCUUAUAAAAAGUAAUAUUUUUUUCAAUUUAUUUUUUUAACAUAUUUUCUAAUAUUUUUCAUAUUUUGUAUAAUAAUUUAGUCAAAAUUAUUAAAGUAAAAAUAUGUUAAUAUUUUUUAUUAUUUAAUUUAUCAUUUAAUAAUAUAUAUUUAUUUUUUAGAAAAGAUAAUUUAUUUUUAUUUAAUAUAAUUUUUCAGGAGUAUAAAUAUUAUUAUAAACAAAAAUAUACAAAGGAAAGACAUAAAUUUUUUUUACUAUUUUUAAAAAAAUUAUUUUUUAAUGACAAAUUAUUAUAUAUAAAUUUUAUAUAUGUGAUGAGUUUUAAAAAUUUAAAUAUAAUUUAAAAAAAUUUAAUUUAUAAUUAUUCAUAUUAAAUAAAUAAAAUUAUUUCGUGCAUCACACGAAUUAUAAUCUAAUUUAUUAAUAUAAUAAUAUUUUAGGUCAAGUUAAGUUUAAACUUAAAAUAAUUAUAUAUAAAAUUUGAUUUGAGUAAAAUUAUAUUCAAAUAUAUUAAUAAGUAAUUUUACUCAUAAAUAAUUUUUUAAAAUUAUCUUCUUUUUUUACUCAAAAUGAUAAGAUAAUUUUCAAAAAUAUUAUUUUAUUUUAUGUUUGACUAGAAAAUCAUUUUUAGUUAACUAAUUUUUUUUGACAAAUAAACCCAAAAAAAUAAAAAUAUUAUUUUUCGAAAGGUUUUUUUUUCUUCGAAACAUAGAGAGUUUGUCCAUUUCUUUACUAUUAUUGUCUCCAUCGUAGGAUGUACAGUUAAACCAUUUAUUUUAUUAUAAUACCACUAGCCUAUAGUACUUAUUGAAACCAUUGGCUUUUUUCCUUUUGCUUUGGCAAUACCGUCUCUGGUUUUUUCCCAACGCUUUCCUCUAUAUAAGAAACUCUUACCCACCCACCAUUUUCUUCUACAAAGCAAAAUACAGCCAGAAAAUCAGUCUUUGAAUUCCGAAAGCAGCCCAUCGGCACUUUCAUUUCAAUCACCUCCCAAAAGCGUAGAAAAAAGAAAAACAUGAGUUCUUCAACAAGAGCUUGGAUAGCAGCUGCUAGCAUUGGAGCUGUUGAGGCACUAAAAGAUCAAGGAAUUUGUAGAUGGAAUUAUGGUCUAAGGUCAAUUCAACAGCAUGUCAAGAACAAUAUCAGAUCAUCUUCUCAAGCUAAGAAAGUUUAUGUUCCAUCUUCUUCUGCUUUGGCUAAGAAACUGAGAGAUGAUGAGAAGUUGAAGAAGUCAGAGGAAGCACUUAGAACUGUCAUGUAUUUGAGCUGUUGGGGUCCAAAUUAAGCUGCCACCUUGUUUUUUGUACAUAUGUAAUGCUAAUUUUGCAUCAAUUAUAUUACUUGAACUAUCAAAAAUAUGUUCAAAAGUUUAGUUUGAUAUUAGAAAAUUUUGGGGCUAAAUUUUAUAUACUGAACUCUUUGUCUGUGAUGAUCAUGAAUUAGAGUCUUACACUAUAUUUGGUGAGGAAAAAAAAAGAAGAAAAGGAAAAUACUAUAAUAAAAAAAUAGCUAUUCUUAUCAGAAACAUUCUAAAUUAAAUUGAAUAAAUUGAGGUGAAAAUCACAUGGAAGCUUUCUUUAGUCUUUAACCUCAGCCUCCAAAAUCAAAUGCUAUGAACAAAGUAAAGGCAAAUCACAAGUUUGUUGGCUUUACAAAAUAAUAAAUGGUUUUUAAGUCCAAAAUAAAGGGCCUCUAACUUUUCCAAAACUAUUGGCAGACACCAACCAGCCAAUGGUUUUAUACGCUUUCAUGUUAUAUAUUAAAAAAUAUGUAUAUUUAGUCACAAACCCUAUUAUAAAUGGGACCAGUCCCAUAUCAUCAGCACCAUUAUUAAUUCGUAAAAGAAAAAGGAAAAGAAAAGGAAAAGAAAAAGAAAAGAAAAUCUCUCUCUUUGUUUGCCACAAUCCUACUUUCAAAGAUAAAAAUAUUUUCUUGAUCAAGAUUUACAAGAAAACAAUAAGUGCAACAAGGAAAGCAUGGAUUGUGGCAGCUACAAUUUAUGGAGUGGAGGUAUUGAAGGAUCAAGGAAUUUGCAGAUGGAAUUAUGUCCUCAGGCAUGCCAAGAAAAACCUUAGGUCAUUUACCGAGGCCAAGGUUCAUUCCUUUCCAUAUCUGCCGGCCCUGGCGGCGGCUUCCGCUAAGAUGAGGGAGGAGGUGAAGAAACCCGACAAGUCCAUCAAAAAAGUGAUGGAAUUGAAUUCCUGGGUCCUAGUACAGUUAGAUUUUAAUGUAAUUUUUGUUAGAAAAAUGGGUUCAGUUUCGUGUAAGUGAUUUUGGAUUAAGUAAAGGUAAUAGGUCUUAAUCUUUUAUUUUACACAGAAUUUUAGAUACUUAAUAAAAAAGAGGUGGUGUUGUUUUAAGUGGGUGUCAAAAACUAAGUAAAAAAAAGAAAAAAAGCUAAAAAAAGUGAAGAGAAAAAAAAAGAAAAGAGAGUUGAUUGAACGGAAGUUGAUCCGUGGUUCGAUUGAAUUAAAAUCUUGUCAGGAGGUUUAUGAUUCAGAGUUUUACAUUCUGAACGGUGAAGAUCGGGUUUGAAGCUCUCUACAAAUAAAUCUAGAGUAUAUUUGUUGAGUCAUUUAUUUAGUGAGAUUUCUCCAAUUAUUUCUUUAGUUGUUGUUUAGCUCUAGUUUUAGCUAGAAAAGAGCUUUGUAUACCUAUUAUUUGAUAGUGAAGAUUUUUCUGGUGGUCCGUGAUUUUUUUCCUCUACACUAGAGGGUUUUUUACGUAAAUCUUGGUGUGCUUUAUUUUUCUGCAUUUUUUAUUAUUGAUUAUUAUCUAUUACUUCUGUAUUAUUGUGAUUAUUGCUUCAGGCACAACAAGUGAUAUCAAAAUGAAGGUUAUUUUGAGACAUCGAUACAAAAACAGUCCAAGAUAUAAGUAAAUUUUGUUUGAGAUCAUGAAGGGUGAUACAUGUUCCAUGAUAAAAUUGACAGCAUCGAAUUAUUUAAUUUGGAAGCUAUGAUGAAGGAUCAUCUAUACUGUAAAAAUUUAUAUGAGCCAAUAUUAGGUUAUUCGACUAAACCAGCAGAUAUGAAAAAUAAAAGCUGAAAUAAGCUAGGUAGAAAGACGCUGGCUACAAUCAAAAAAUGGAUUGAUAUCAGCGUGUUCUAUCAUGUAGCGCAUAAGUCAGAUGCUCACAUUGUUUGAAAAAAUUUGACAGUAUUGUAUGAGAGAAAAACAUGUAUGAAUAAAGUUAUGCUUGUUAAAAAGCUUGUAACUUUACAGUACAGAGAUGGAUGAUCUGUUACAAAGCACUUGAGUGAUUUUUAAUAUAUAUUUAAUCAGAUGACUACUAUGGAGCUUAAGAUGAAUGAUGAAAUGAAGGUAUUAUUUUUUUUGAAUUUAUUGUCAGACAGCUGGAAUACUCUAAUUAUGAUUCUUCUUAAUUCAACUCCUGAUUAUAAGGUGACAUUGGAGAUGGUAAAUGACAGUAUGCUUAAUGAAGAAGCAAGGCGAAAAGAUGUAGACCCUAAGAAUCAAGCUCUGGUCACAAAAAACCGGGAUAGAAACAUCGAUAAAGGUCAUGACUCAAAAGGUCGUGGUAAGUCUAAACAUAGAUCCAAGUCUAGAGGUAAAGUGAAGUGUUUCUAUUGUGGUAAGAUAGGUCAUAUAAAACGAAACUAUAAAAUCUUAAAGCAAGAGCGAAAAGAUGAGAAAGGUAAGAGUUCAGAUGAUGGUAAUGUUGCAGUAGUGAAUUCAGAUAGUGCUUCAGUUACUUUGAUUUGUACACAUGGUGAUUGUAAUCAUAUUAGUGAUCUCGACAUUGAGUGGAUAGUUGACACAAGAGCGACAUAUCAUUGUGUUUCUAAGAUAGAGUUAUUUACAACUUACAAAGUAAGAGACUUUGAUUGUACCAAAAUGGAAAAUAAGAGUGUAACACAGAUUAUUGGGAUUGGUGAUAUUAUUGUACUAACUAGUACAGGCUGCAUGUUGACUUUGAGGGAUAUCAAACACAUUUCAGAUAUGAGAAUGAACUUGCUUGCUAUUAAUAUCUUUGAUAAGGAAAGAUAUGAAAGUCGACAAAAGAAUGGACAGUGGAAGCUUCUCAAAGGAUCUAUGGUAGUUGCAAGGAAAAAAUUAUGCUACACAAUGUAUAAGACAUAAAUGCAAUUGAAUGGUAACUAGGUAAAUGUCGUUGAAAAUGAUGCUUCAGCAAACUUGUGGCACAGGAGGCUGGCACACAUGAGUGAAAAAGGGUUACAGGUUUUGGCAAGACAGUCUCUUAUUCCCUUGACCAAAGGUAUGUCUCUCGAUUCAUGUGAUUAUUGUUUGUUUGGUAAGCAUCAUAGAGUUUUUUUUCGUAAAAGUUCUUAGAGAACAGAAAAUAGAUUGGAAUUAAUUUAUUCUAACGUAUGUGGUCUCAUUGAGGUUGGGUCAUUAGUUGGUAGCAGUUAUUUUGUUACUUUUAUUGAUAAUGCUUCACAUAAGACUUAGGUGUAUAUGUUAAAAUAAAAAAGUCAGGUACUGCAGUAUUUUUAAAAAUUUCAUGCCAUGAUUGAAAGGAUGACAGGGUUACCCUUGAAGUAUAUUCUAAAGGCUUUGAAGAGUAUUGUUCAAAGCAUGAGAUCAGACAUGAGAUGACAGAACCUAAAACAUCGCAACAUAAUGGUAUAGCUGAAAAAAUGAAUCAUACCAUUGUGAAAAAUGUCAGAUGUAUGUUGAGGAUGACAAAAUUACCAAAGCCAUUCUAGGGUAAAGCAGUUAACACGGCUUGUUAUUUACUUAACAGAUCAUUAUCAGUUCCUUUGGGCUUUGACAUUCCAAAAAGAGUGUGGACAGAAAAAUAUACUUCAUACUCUCACUUGAAAGUUUUUGGGUGUAAGCAUUUAUGCAUGUGCCGAAAGAGCAGAGAUCAAAGCUUGACAGUAAAGUCACACAGUGUGUGUUUGUAAGAUAUGAUGAUGAGAAAUUUGGUUACAGGGUAUGAGAUCCAGUAAAGAAAAAGAUAAUCAGAAGUAAAGAUGUGAUCUUUCAUGAAAAAAAAACCAUAGCAGACUUUGAGAAAAUGAGAAAACUACACGGGUUACUACUGAGUGUGAUGUUUCAACACCGACAGAGAUUCCACAGGAAAGAGCCAUAGAUGAUGGAAAUGAGUAAGAAACAGAACUUAAGAAUAUGAAUGAGCCAGCCACAGUUGGUGAUGUGCCAAAUGCAAUUAGUUUUGAGCAGGGAGAGCAAUCAUCUCUACCUGAAAGUGUUGAGCAGAGGGAGCUACCUUUGGCGUCAAGUGAUGUAGAGUCUCAGCCCAGGAGAUCUACUAGAGAGCGCAAGCCAUCUAUCAGGUAUCCAAGUUCAGAUUUUAUUUUAGUUACCAGUGAAAGUGAGCCAGAAAACUUUUAAGAUGUGCAAGCUACUCUGGAUAGAGAGCACUGGUUAAAAGUAAUGAAAGAAGAGAUGGAGUUAUUACGAAAAAAUGGUACUUAUGAUCUUGUUAAACUUUCAACAGAGAAGAGGCCAUUAAAAUAUAAAUGGGUGUUCAAGUUGAAAAAGGAUGGUGACAAACUAGUGAGGUACAAAGCUCGAUUGAUAGUAAAAGAUUUUUCUUAAAAACCAGGUAUCGAUUUUGAUGAAAUUUUUGCUACAGUUGUAAAGAUGAGUUCUAUUCGAGUGGUACUGAGAUUAGCAGCUAGUUUGAAUCUUGAGCUUGAGCAACUUGAUAUUAAAAUUGCAUUUUUGCAUGGUGAUUUGUAGGAGGACAUUUAUAUGAAUCAGCCUGAGAGUUUUGAAGUGAAAGAGAAAGAACACUUAGUUUACAAAUUGAAGAAAAGCUUGUACGACUUAAAACAAGCUCUGCGACAAUGGUAUAAUAAGUUUGAUUCUUUUAUGGUGAGUACAGCAGUGGAUUCUUGUGUGUAUGUUAAACAAUUUCCUAAUAGUAACUUCAUUAUCCUAUUAUUAUAUGUUGAUGAUAUGUUGAUUGUAGGACAAGAUGCUAGUAUGAUUUACAGGUUGAAAGAAUAAUUGUCUAAGUUUUUUUAUAUGAAGGAUUUAGGUCCAGCAAAGCAGGUUCUUGGUAUGAACAUUAUCCGAGAUAAGAGAGCUAAAAAACUAUGGUUGUCCGGGAUAUGAGAGCUAGAAAACUGUGAUUAUCAUAAGAAAAGUAUGUUGAACGAGUGCUUGGUAGAUUCAACAUGUAACAUGCUAAAUCAAUUAGCAGUCCACUGGCCAACCAUUUUCAUAUAAGUAAAAAAUCUUGUCCAGUGUCAAAGAAGAGCAACUAGCUAUGUCUAGUAUUCCUUAUUCUUUUGCAGUCAAUUUUUUAAUGUAUCUUAUGGUUUGUACAAGGUCUGACAUUGCUCAUGCAGUUGGUGUAGUGAGCAAAUUUCUUUCUAAUCCAAAAAAAGCUCACUGGAAAGCAGUGAAAUAAAUUUUUAGAUAUUUGAGGGGUACCUCAAAAAUGUGCUUGACUUAUGAAGUUUCACAACCAGUUCUAGAAAGGUUUACUGAUGCUAACAUGGCAGGCGAUCUUGAUGGUAAAAAAUCUACUUCAGGGUAUUUGUUUACUUUUGUAGGAAGAGCUGUAUCUUGGUAAUCUAAGUUAUAGAAGUGUGUUGCUUUGUCAACUACAGAGGCUGAGUAUAUUACAACAAUCGAAGCAUGUAAAGAAAUGCUUUGGAUGAAAUAUUUUCUUCUUGAAUUGAAGUUGAAUUAGAAAAAGUAUGUGGUAUUUUAUAAUAGUCAAAGUGCUUUAGAUUUGAGUAAGAAUACCAUGUACCAAGCUAAAACAAAGCACAUUGAUGUUAGAUAUCAUUGGUUACGUUCAAUGAUUGAAGAAUAGCAGAUGCUAUUGAAGAAAGUUCAUACUGAUAAGAAUGUAGCAAAUAUGUUGACUAAGAGACUUCCUAAGAAAAAGCUUGAGCUUUGCAGUAACUUAACCGAAAUGAGUUCCCUGGCCAAGGUAAGUUUCAAAUAAAACUGCUAUGGUGAUGAAUCUCCUCCUAAUGGGGCUGAAGGGAGAGAUUAUUAGGAAAAUGGGGUCCAGCCUCAUGUAAGUGGUUUUGGACCAAGUAAAGGCCAUGGGCCUUGAUCUUUCAUUUUACAUAAAGCCCUAACUACUUAAUAAAAAAGAGGUUAGGUUAUUUUAAAUGGGUGUCGAAAACCAAGUAGAGAAAGAAGAAAAGCUAAAAAAAACAGAGAGAAAAAAAAGAAGGGAGAGUUGGUUGAACAGAAGUUGAUCCGUGGUCCGAUUGAGUUGGAACCUUGUCAAGAGGUUUAUGAUUCAGAGUUUUACAUUCUGAACAGUGAAGAUCGGAUUUGAAGCUCUCUAGGAAUAAAUUCAGAGUGUAUUUGUUGAGUCACUUAUUUGGUGAGAUUUCUUCAAUUGUUUCUCUAGUUGUUGUUUAGCUCUAGUUUUAGCUAGAGAAGAACUUUGUAUACCUAUUAUUUGAUAGUGAAGAUUUUUCUGGUGGUCCGUAAUUUUUUUCCUCUACACUAGAGGGUUUUCUACGUAAAUCUUAAUGUGCUUUAUUUUUUUGUGUUUUUUAUUAUUGAUUGUUUUCUAUUGCUUCUGUAUUAUUGUGAUUAUUGCUUCAGACGCAAUAAUUUUCAUGGCUUUUUGUUGGAGAAAAAACCAACAAUUAAAUGAUUGUUGUGUAUAGAGUUUUGUUUUCUCUUCUCUAUAGUUAGGGAGUUAAAGGGCUUAAGGUUCUUGGCAAUGGCAUUUGGCUGUGAAAAAUGAUCGAGUUUGGUUUUGGAUUGUUAACAUUGUCCUUCAUCGUUAUUUUGGUAUGUAAAAUUUAUAAUAAUGUAUUGGUGUCUCCAAAUUUGUCUUGUUUAGGGUUAACAAUGGAUCGAAUCAAGUCGAAUUUUUGUUCGCUCCAAACUUGAUCAGAAUUUAUAAUUAUAAAAUUCGAAUUCGAUUCGAUUUGAAAAAUUUUUUAUUUAUUUAUAUUCGAACCCGAUUCAACUCGAUGUUGUAUAAACCGUACUCAAUUCGAUUUGAUUCGAAAUUAUAAAAUAUUAUUUUUAAAUAUAAAAUAUAUUUUUUAAAUAUAAAUAUAUAAAUAUAUAAUUAAUUAAUUAAAAAUAAUUUUUAUAUAAUAUCGGAUCGGAUCAAAUUUAUCUAAAAUUUGAAUCUGAUCCGAUCUUUAUUUUUUUAAUAAUAAUAUCUAAUUCGAUCUGAAAUCUGAUUUUAAAAAAUAUAUAUUAACUUUAUGCGAUCGGAUUGAGUCGGAACCAUCGAAAGCAAAUUGGGCUGCCAACCCUAAUCUUGUUCUUACUUCCGAUGGAAAUUGCAUAAUAAAUUCGAAAUUAAAUGUCUUUUUUCUUAGAUAAAUGUUAAGAAAAUUUGAGUCUUUGACUAAGAAAAUCUAUUAAAUCUUAUAGAAACAUACACAUUUCACCUACAAAAGGGUUAGUUCAAUGAUGGUGAAAGAAAAAAAAAAUUUUUAUUCAGGUUCGAUUUGUGUGGAACAUUCGAGACCAAAAUUAUGAAUGUAAGAGGCCAUCAAGGGAAUGUGUAUUGUUAAAAUUUUUUAGUGAAAAAAAUUAUAUCCAAAUAAAGUUUAAAAAUACUCUAUUCAUAUUUUAAAAAAAUAUUUUUUUGAUAAAUUAUGCAUAAUCCUUAAAUUCAUAAUGAAUCACUUCAAUGACGGAUUCACAUGUAUAAAUAAAAUAUUUAUGGACAUUCAAAAAUUAAAAAAAAUUAAAUAUUUUUUAGCAAUAAAAUUAAUAAAUUUAUUGAUAGUUUUAUAUAUAUUAUAAUAAAUUAACAUAAAACACUUAAAGAUCCAUCUUAAAUAUUAUGUUUAAAUAACACAAUAAUAUUAUAUUAUUAUUAAAAUAAUAUAAUAUUAGUUAUUAUUGAAAUAUUAAAAAUAUUUUAUUUAAAUAAUAUAUAAAAUUAAAAUAUUAAAAACUUUUAAUGUUAAUAUUUUAAUUUUUUUAUUAAAACUAAAUAAAAUAUAUUUUAAUAUAAUAAUAUUUUAAAUGAAACAAAUCAAGAUCCAUCUUAAAUAUUAUGUUUAAAGAGUAAAUUUAUAAAAAUAUUUAAAAUUAAAAUAUUAAAAUAUUUUUAAUAUUAAUAUUUUAAAUUGUUAAAUAAAAUUAAAUAAAAAUUAUUAUUUAUUAAUAUAAUAAUAUUUUAGAUCAAAUUAAGUUUAAACUUAAAAUAAUUAUAUUCAAAAUUUGACUUUAUUAAAAUUAUACUCAAAUAUAUUAAUAAGUAAUUUUAUUCAUAAACAGCUUUUUUUAAAAUUAUAUUUUCCUACUCAGAAUGAUAAGAUAAUUUUAUAAAAAAAUAUCUUAAUUUUCAUUGAUGAAUAAAUCAUUUUUUAUUAAUUAAUCAAAAUUUUGACAAAUAAACAUAUAAAAAUAAAAAUAUAAUUUUCGAUUUUUUUUUUAAACAGACGGAGUUUGUCUAUUUCUUUACUAUUAUUGUCUCCAUUGUAGGAUGUACAGUUAAAGCAUUUAUUUUAUUAUAAUACCACUACACCAUAGUACUACUUGAAACCAUUGGCUUUUUCCUUUUGUUUAGGCAAUACCAUCUCUGGUUUUUUCCCAACGCUUUCCUCUAUAUAAGAAACUCUCACCCGCUUACAAAUUCGCUUCAACAAAGCAAAAUACAGGCAGAAACUAGUCUUUGAAUCCCAAAAUAUCCCAUUUCCACUUUCAUUUCCAUCACCUCUCAAAAGCGUUGAAAAAAGAAAAAUAUGAGUUCUUCAACAAGAGCUUGGAUGGCAGCUGCUAGCAUUGGAGCUGUUGAGGCCUUAAAAGAUCAAGGAAUUUGUAGAUGGAAUUAUGGUCUAAGGUCAAUUCAACAGCAUGUCAAGAACAAUAUCAGAUCAUCUUCUCAAGCUAAGAAAGUUUCUGUUCCAUCUUCUUCUGCUUUGGCUAAGAAACUGAGGGAAGAUGAUAAGUUGAAGAAGUCAGAGGAAGCACUUAGAACUGUCAUGUAUUUGAGCUGUUGGGGUCCAAAUUAAGCUACCCCUUCGUUUUUUGUACAUAUGUA
rnacentral:lncRNA from 1 species